rnacentral:rRNA from 1 species
AGAGUUUGAUCCUGGCUCAGGAUAAACGCUGGCGGCGCACAUAAGACAUGCAAGUCGAACGGAAGUCGUUAUAAAAAGGAUUGAAGAUUUAUCUGAUUGAGAUUUUAUAACAAUGGCUUUAGUGGCGGACUGGUGAGUAACGCGUGAGCAACCUGCCUACUAGAGGGGAAUAACAGUGAGAAAUCAUUGCUAAUACCGCAUAUGCCAUGAACAUCACAUGAUGAAAAUGGGAAAAGAGUAAUCUGCUAGUAGAUGGGCUCGCGUCUGAUUAGAUAGUUGGUGGGGCAACGGCCUACCAAGUCGACGAUCAGUAGCCGGACUGAGAGGUUGAACGGCCACAUUGGGACUGAGAUACGGCCCAGACUCCUACGGGAGGCAGCAGUCGGGAAUAUUGCGCAAUGGAGGAAACUCUGACGCAGUGACGCCGCGUAUAGGAAGAAGGUUUUCGGAUUGUAAACUAUUGUCGUUAGGGAAGAUACAAGACAGUACCUAAGGAGGAAGCUCCGGCUAACUACGUGCCAGCAGCCGCGGUAAUACGUAGGGAGCAAGCGUUAUCCGGAUUUAUUGGGUGUAAAGGGUGCGUAGACGGGACAACAAGUUAGUUGUGAAAUCCCUCGGCUUAACUGAGGAACUGCAACUAAAACUAUUGUUCUUGAGUGUUGGAGAGGAAAGUGGAAUUCCUAGUGUAGCGGUGAAAUGCGUAGAUAUUAGGAGGAACACCGGUGGCGAAGGCGACUUUCUGGACAAUAACUGACGUUGAGGCACGAAAGUGUGGGGAGCAAACAGGAUUAGAUACCCUGGUAGUCCACACCGUAAACGAUGGAUACUAGGUGUAGGAAAUGAUUUCAUUUUCUGUGCCGUCGCAAACGCAAUAAGUAUCCCACCUGGGGAGUACGGCCGCAAGGUUGAAACUCAAAGGAAUUGACGGGGGCCCG